rnacentral:rRNA from 1 species
AGACAGCAGUCGCCGCGGGAAUACGUAGGUGGCAAGCGUUGUCCGGAAUUAUUGGGCGUAAAGCGCGCGCAGGCGGCCUAUCCAGUCUGUCUUAAAAGUUCGGGGCUUAACCCCGUGAUGGGAUGGAAACUGCCAAUCUAGAGUAUCGGAGAGGAAAGUGGAAUUCCUAGUGUAGCGGUGAAAUGCGUAGAUAUUAGGAAGAACACCAGUGGCGAAGGCGACUUUCUGGACGAAAACUGACGCUGAGGCGCGAAAGCGUGGGGAGCAAACAGGAUUAGAUACCCGUAGUCCCUGUCUCUUAUACACA